rnacentral:lncRNA from 1 species
ACACCAACAUGGGUCCACUCCUCUCCUUGGGUCCCAUUCCAGUCCUGUCUAGGAGAAUGUUGCGUCCGUGAAGCCUCUCAGUACCUUAUUCCGAGAGCCAGCAAAACCCGUUUUGUUGCUUCUGUGCCUGUUUUACCUUAGUUGUAACGUUUGCUUUGUCACUGUCUUUUCUUUCCCAUGUGGGCGGGGAGCAAGGAUUGCUUCUGUAUAUCUAUCCCCAGAGCCCGGUUUAGCAGCCACAACAGGGUCCUCACUAGGACCUUCUCACUAGGACCUUAAUGAAUGAGUAGUGCAAGUGUUUACAAACGUAGCAAGAAUCUGAAAACACUUGAUUUUGGUCUUUAAACAUUUUCCCCCUCCCCCUUGUAUGACAAAGUUAGAAAAAUUGAAGGCACUUAAAAGAGUACUACCCUAAUAGCCUUCUCCAGCACAAGCUCAAUUAUUUAAGGUAAACCAGUUGCAAAGCUCUGCGAGAAUACCGAAUCCAUACUACAUGUGUGGGUAGCAUGUCAGUGCUUUGCAGUAUUCACAGCUCACAACAGCAGACCUUGGUGAAAUUCAGUCUCACCGUAAUUUGUGAACAUUUAUUGCAUAUCUACACUACUCAUGGGUUUCGGCAAAAAGAAGACACUGCUGUUACCUUAAAGGAGCUUAAAAAUCUAUGUGAGAAUCAAAGAAGAUUAGAAGAAAAAGCAGGGAGAAAAACCCUUCAUGGUGGCUCAUGCCUGUAAUCCCAGCACUUUUUUUUUUAAAAGAUUUAUUUAUUUAUUAUAUGUAAGUACACUGUAGCUGUCCUCAGACACUCCAGAAGAGGGAGUCAGAUCUUGUUACAGAUGGUUGUGAGCCACCAUGUGGUUGCUGGGAUUUGAACUUCAGACCUUCGGAAGAGCAGUCGGGUGCUCUUACCCACUGAGCCAUCUCACCAGCCCAUCCCAGCACUUUUUUAAACAAGAGGGAUAUCUGUGAGUUUGAGGCCAGCCUGGUAUACACAGUGAGUUCCAGGACAGCCAGAACUACCUAGAGAGACCCUGCCUCAAAACAAAACAACAAAGCC